rnacentral:rRNA from 1 species
GUGGCGCACGGGUGCGUAACACGUAUGUAAUUUGCCCAUAACUGGGAGAUAGCCCCGAGAAAUCGGGAUUAAUAUCCCAUAACAUUAUGAAGAGGCAUCUUUUUAUAAUUAAAGCUCCGGCGGUUAUGGAUAAACAUGCGACCCAUUAGUUUGUUGGUGAGGUAAUGGCUCACCAAGACUACGAUGGGUAGGGGUUCUGAGAGGAUGAUCCCCCACACUGGUACUGAGACACGGACCAGACUCCUACGGGAGGCAGCAGUAGGGAAUAUUGGGCAAUGGACGAAAGUCUGACCCAGCCAUGCCGCGUGCAGGAUGAAUGCCCUCUGGGUUGUAAACUGCUUUUAUAAGGGAAGAAACCCCUCUACGUGUAAGGGCUGACGGUACCUUAUGAAUAAGGAUCGGCUAACUCCGUGCCAGCAGCCGCGGUAAUACGGAGGAUCCAGGCGUUGUCCGGAUUUAUUGGGUUUAAAGGGUGCGUAGGCGGAUUAUUAAGUCAGUGGUGAAAGCCUGUAGCUCAACUACAGAACUGCCAUUGAAACUGAUAAUCUUGAGUAUAGUUGGGGUAAAUGGAAUGUUGCAUGUAGCGGUGAAAUGCUUAGAUAUGCAACAGAACACCAAUCGCGAAGGCAAUUUACUAAACUAUAACUGACGCUGAGGCACGAAAGCGUGGGUAGCAAACAGGAUUAGAUACCCUGGUAGUCCACGCCCUAAACGUUGCAUACUAGUUGUUGGCGAUAUACUGUCAGUGACCAAGCGAAAGCGUUAAGUAUGCCACCUGGGG